rfam:Ailuropoda melanoleuca scaffold2693_8, whole genome shotgun sequence.
CCAAAGGCCCUUUUUAGGGCCCCCACUUUUCCAUCUGAGGAGCCGU